rnacentral:snRNA from 1 species
GUGCUUGCUUCAGCAGCACAUAUACUAAAAUUGGAAUGAUACAGAGAAGAUUAGCAUGGCCCCUGCACAAGGAUGACACGCAAAUUCGUGAAGCAUUCCAUAU